rnacentral:rRNA from 1 species
UCGGGAAUUUUGGGCAAUGGGCGAAAGCCUGACCCAGCAACGCCGCGUGAAGGAUGAAAUCCCUCGGGAUGUAAACUUCGCAAGAACGGGAAGAAUAAGCGAGAGUUAAUAUCUCUCGCGAUGACGGUACCGUUUGUAAGCUCCGGCUAACUCCGUGCCAGCAGCCGCGGUAAUACGGGGGGAGCAAGCGUUGUUCGGAUUUACUGGGCGUAAAGGGCGCGUAGGCGGCCACCGCAAGUCGAUUGUGAAAUCUCCGGGCUUAACCCGGAAAGGUCAACCGAUACUGCGGGGCUAGAGUGCAGAAGGGGCAACUGGAAUUCUCGGUGUAGCGGUGAAAUGCGUAGAUAUCGAGAGGAACACCUGCGGCGAAGGCGGGUUGCUGGGCUGACACUGACGCUGAGGCGCGAAAGCUAGGGGAGCGAACGGGAUUAGAUACCCCGGUAGUCCUAGCCUUAAACGAUGAAUGCUUGGUGUCUGGGGUUUUAUAGUCCCCGGGUGCCGUCGCUAACGCUUUAAGCAUUCCGCCUGGGGAGUACGGUCGCAAGACUGA